GACGAACGCUGGCGGCGCGCUUAACACAUGCAAGUCGAACGGAAAGGCCUGCUUUCCCUUGUGGAUUGCGGGUACUCGAGUGGCGAACGGGUGAGUAACACGUGAGUGAUCUGCCCCCAACUUGGGUAUAAGCCUGGGAAACUGGGUCUAAUUCCCGAUAGGACUGCAGGGUGGUGCCUGUGGUGGAAAACGAUUUUCUAGUGGUUGGGGAUGAGCUCGCGGCCUAUCAGCUUGUUGGUGGGGUAAUGGCCUACCAAGGCGGCGACGGGUAGCGGGCCUGAGAGGGUGGACGGCCACAUUGGGACUGAGAUACGGCCCAGACUCCUACGGGAGGCAGCAGUGGGGAAUAUUGCACAAUGGGAGGAAGCCUGAUGCAGCGACGCCGCGUGGGGGAUGACGGCCUUCGGGUUGUAAACUCCUUUCGACCGCGAGGAAGCCACCUGGUUGGAAGGGUGGUGACGGUAGUGGUAGAAGAAGCACCGGCUAACUACGU
rnacentral:rRNA from 1 species